rnacentral:rRNA from 1 species
UACGUAGGGGGCAAGCGUUAUCCGGAAUUACUGGGUGUAAAGGGAGCGUAGACGGUAAUGUAAGUCUGGAGUGAAAGGCGGGGGCCCAACCCCCGGACUGCUCUGGAAACUAUGUUACUAGAGUGCAGAAGAGGUAAGCGGAAUUCCUAGUGUAGCGGUGAAAUGCGUAGAUAUUAGGAGGAACACCAGUGGCGAAGGCGGCUUACUGGACUGUAACUGACGUUGAGGCUCGAAAGCGUGGGGAGCAAACAGG